rnacentral:lncRNA from 1 species
AAACCAAUGUCUAGUCUGGACCUGCAUUGUUGCAUGCAAUUGAUACUGGAGCUUAACUCAUCAUUCCAAUACCGUCCAAAUACUUAACUUUUGUUAUUCUAAUUUUCCUUGUACAAGAAAUGUUGUAAAACUUCAAAAUGGCUACAAAGCAGAUGUAAGAAUUGCUUAUAAAAAAGAUGUAGAAUAAUUGCCAAUGAGACAACUCUCCACAAGAGACCAAAGACACAGAAAUUCACAUCUAUGUCACUAUACCGCCUUCAACAAUGAGCAAAGCCCAUACUGCAUAGUCAGCUAUAGAAGGCCUCAAAAUUAGAAAUGUACAACAAAUCAAACAAGAAAACUAAUGGCCUAUUAAUUUAUGUACAAAAAAAGAAUGAAAAAAAUAUGUAACACAUCAACAAACGACAACCACUGAAUUACAGGCUCCUAACUUGGGACAGGCACAUACAUACAGAAUGUGGCAGGGUUAAACAUGUUACUCGUUACAACUCCACAUUAUCAAGCUGUAAACAAAAUUUUAAAUCA